rnacentral:rRNA from 1 species
ACGCACGCUGGCGGCGUGCUUCACCCAUGCCAGUCGCACGGAAAGGCCCUGCUUUUGUGGGGUGCUCGAGCGGCGAACGGGUGAGUAACACGUGAGUAACCUGCCCUUGACUUUGGGAUAACUUCAGGAAACUGGGGCUAAUACCGGAUAGGAGCUCCUGCUGCAUGGUGGGGGUUGGAAAGUUUCGGCGGUUGGGGAUGGACUCGCGGCUUAUCAGCUUGUUGGUGGGGUAGUGGCUUACCAAGGCUUUGACGGGUAGCCGGCCUGAGAGGGUGACCGGCCACAUUGGGACUGAGAUACGGCCCAGACUCCUACGGGAGGCAGCAGUGGGGAAUAUUGCACAAUGGGCGGAAGCCUGAUGCAGCAACGCCGCGUGCGGGAUGACGGCCUUCGGGUUGUAAACCGCUUUCGCCUGUGACGAAGCGUGAGUGACGGUAAUGGGUAAAGAAGCACCGGCUAACUACGUG